rfam:Salmo salar isolate Sally breed double haploid chromosome ssa13, whole genome shotgun sequence.
CCUAAUUACUCCUGUAAGUUGCUCUGGAUAAGAGCAUCUGCUAAAUGCCUAAAA